AUGUACAUUCAUACAAUGUUAAUGCAACAGAUCCCAUCAAAACUUUGUAGUUAAGUGCGCUUGGGAUAGACUAGUAUUAGGAUGGGUGACCUCUCGAGAAGUCCUAGUGUUUUACAUG
rfam:Picea glauca, whole genome shotgun sequence.